GCUAAUACAUGCAAGUCGAGCGGACAGAUGGGAGCUUGCUCCCUGAUGUUAGCGGCGGACGGGUGAGUAACACGUGGGUAACCUGCCUGUAAGACUGGGAUAACUCCGGGAAACCGGGGCUAAUACCGGAUGGUUGUUUGAACCGCAUGGUUCAGACAUAAAAGGUGGCUUCGGCUACCACUUACAGAUGGACCCGCGGCGCAUUAGCUAGUUGGUGAGGUAACGGCUCACCAAGGCGACGAUGCGUAGCCGACCUGAGAGGGUGAUCGGCCACACUGGGACUGAGACACGGCCCAGACUCCUACGGGAGGCAGCAGUAGGGAAUCUUCCGCAAUGGACGAAAGUCUGACGGAGCAACGCCGCGUGAGUGAUGAAGGUUUUCGGAUCGUAAAGCUCUGUUGUUAGGGAAGAACAAGUGCCGUUCAAAUAGGGCGGCACCUUGACGGUACCUAACCAGAAAGCCACGGCUAACUACGUGCCAGCAGCCGCGGUAAUACGUAGGUGGCAAGCGUUGUCCGGAAUUAUUGGGCGUAAAGGGCUCGCAGGCGGUUUCUUAAGUCUGAUGUGAAAGCCCCCGGCUCAACCGGGGAGGGUCAUUGGAAACUGGGGAACUUGAGUGCAGAAGAGGAGAGUGGAAUUCCACGUGUAGCGGUGAAAUGCGUAGAGAUGUGGAGGAACACCAGUGGCGAAGGCGACUCUCUGGUCUGUAACUGACGCUGAGGAGCGAAAGCGUGGGGAGCGAACAGGAUUAGAUACCCUGGUAGUCCACGCCGUAAACGAUGAGUGCUAAGUGUUAGGGGGUUUCCGCCCCUUAGUGCUGCAGCUAACGCAUUAAGCACUCCGCCUGGGGAGUACGGUCGCAAGACUGAAACUCAAAGGAAUUGACGGGGGCCCGCACAAGCGGUGGAGCAUGUGGUUUAAUUCGAAGCAACGCGAAGAACCUUACCAGGUCUUGACAUCCUCUGACAAUCCUAGAGAUAGGACGUCCCCUUCGGGGGCAGAGUGACAGGUGGUGCAUGGUUGUCGUCAGCUCGUGUCGUGAGAUGUUGGGUUAAGUCCCGCAACGAGCGCAACCCUUGAUCUUAGUUGCCAGCAUUCAGUUGGGCACUCUAAGGUGACUGCCGGUGACAAACCGGAGGAAGGUGGGGAUGACGUCAAAUCAUCAUGCCCCUUAUGACCUGGGCUAC
rnacentral:rRNA from 1 species